rnacentral:rRNA from 1 species
GACGAACGCUGGCGGCGUGCUUAACACAUGCAAGUCGAACGGAAAGGCCCUGCUUUUGUGGGGUGCUCGAGUGGCGAACGGGUGAGUAACACGUGAGUAACCUGCCCUUGACUUUGGGAUAACUUCAGGAAACCGGGGCUAAUACCGGAUAGGAGCUCCUGCUGCAUGGUGUGGGUUGGAAAGUUUCGGCGGUUGGGGAUGGACUCGCGGCUUAUCAGCUUGUUGGUGGGGUAGUGGCUUACCAAGGCUUUGACGGGUAGCCGGCCUGAGAGGGUGACCGGCCACAUUGGGACUGAGAUACGGCCCAGACUCCUACGGGAGGCAGCAGUGGGGAAUAUUGCACAAUGGGCGGAAGCCUGAUGCAGCAACGCCGCGUGCGGGAUGACGGCCUUCGGGUUGUAAACCGCUUUCGCCUGUGACGAAGCGUGAGUGACGGUAAUGGGUAAAGAAGUACCGGCUAACUACGUG